rnacentral:rRNA from 1 species
CCUACGGGUGGCAGCAGUGAGGAAUAUUGGUCAAUGGACGAGAGUCUGAACCAGCCAAGUAGCGUGAAGGAUGACUGCCCUAUGGGUUGUAAACUUCUUUUAUAUGGGAAUAAAAUGUUCCACGUGUGGGAUUUUGUAUGUACCAUAUGAAUAAGGAUCGGCUAACUCCGUGCCAGCAGCCGCGGUAAUACGGAGGAUCCGAGCGUUAUCCGGAUUUAUUGGGUUUAAAGGGAGCGUAGGUGGAUUGUUAAGUCAGUUGUGAAAGUUUGCGGCUCAACCGUAAAAUUGCAGUUGAAACUGGCAGUCUUGAGUACAGUAGAGGUGGGCGGAAUUCGUGGCGUAGCGGUGAAAUGCUUAGAUAUCACGAAGAACUCCGAUUGCGAAGGCAGUUCACUGGACUGCAACUGACACUGAGGCUCGAAAGUGUGGGUAUCAAACAGGAUUAGAUACCCUUGUAGUC